UAUGUCGGAAAGGAUAUUAUGCCCUCAACAUACAAAUGACAUGCGAUCCACGGUAUCAAAUAAUUGACUUGGUGGCAAAGUGGCCAGGCAGUGUGCAUGAUUCAAGAAUAUUCCGUGAAUCAGCCUUAUGCACAUAUUUGGAGGAAGGUCAGAUUCAGGGGAUAUUACUUGGCGAUUCAGGGUAUGGCCUAAAACCUUAUCUGAUGACCCCA